GUCUACGGCCAUCCCACCCUGAACGCGCCCGAUCUCAUCUGCUCUUGGAAGCUAAACAGGGUUGGGCCUGGUUAGUACUUGGAUGGGAGAAGAGUUAGAGGAGGUGGAAG
rnacentral:rRNA from 1 species